GAUGAACGCUGGCGGCGUGCCUAAUACAUGCAAGUCGAGCGAACGGACGCUGAGCUUGCUUCUCUGACGUUAGCGGCGGACGGGAGUGUAACACGUGGAUAACCUACCUAUAAUACUGGGAUCACUUCGGGAAACCGGCUCUUAUCCCGGAUGAUAUCUUGAAGCGCAUGGUUCAAAAGUGAAAGACGGUCUUGCUGUCUCUUCUAGCUGGAUCCGCGCUGCAUUAGCUGGUUGGGGAGGUAACGGCUUACCAAGGCUACGAUGCAUAGCCGAACUGAUAGGGGGAUCGCCGACCUGGGAAGUGAGCCAGCGUCCAGAGUCCUAAGAGAGGCAGCAGUCGCCAAUGUGCGGCAAUAGGGGGAAACCUGACGGAGCGACGCGGAGUGUGUGAUGACAGCCCUCGGAGCGGAAAGAUCUGUUACGAGGUAUGAACAUAUGUCUCAGUAACCGAGGAGUUCGUGACGGUACUUAGUCAAAAAGCCACGGCUAACUACGUG
rnacentral:rRNA from 1 species